UCCAUAGCUGGUCUUGAGAAGGAUGAUCAGCCACACCGGGACUGAGACACGGCCCAGACUCCUUACGGGAGGCAGCAGUGGGGAAUAUUGGACAAUGGGCGCAAGCUUGAUCCAGCCAUGCCGCGUGAGUGAUGAAGGCCUUAGGGUUGUAAAGCUCUUUCAGUGGGGACGAUAAUGACGGUACCCACAGAAGAAGCCCCGGCUAACUUCGUGCCAGCAGCCGCGGUAAUACGAAGGGGGCUAGCGUUGUUCGGAUUUACUGGGCGUAAAGCGCACGUAGGCGGAUCGUUAAGUCGGGGGUGAAAUCCUGGAGCUCAACUCCAGAACUGCCUUCGAUACUGGCGAUCUUGAGUCCGGACAGAGGUGAGUGGAACUCCUAGUGUAGAGGUGGAAUUCGUAGAUAUUAGGAAGAACACCAGUGGCGAAGGCGGCUCACUGGUCCGGUACUGACGCUGAGGUGCGAAAGCGUGGGGAGCAAACAGGAUUAGAUAC
rnacentral:rRNA from 1 species